CUAUAAACCCGAGCCAUCGCUUCUUGCCAAGGUAGGAAGAGGAAAGUCCGGACAGUGUAGAGCAACCCACCGGUUAAGAGCCGGCUCCUGUAAAAAGGAAAGAGAGAGUGCCACAGAAAAUAACAGUCGCAAUUUAAAACUGCGGUAAAGGUGAAAAUGUGAGGUAAGAGCUCACGGCGGCAAGUAGUAAUACUUGUUGUGGGUAAACCUUGGGUACUGUAAUGCCAUGUAAAGGAUUGUUUGAGGGCUGCUCGUCCGAGAUCCAGGGUAGGCAGCAAGAUCUGCUUAGUAAUAAGUAGGCUAGAUAAAUGAUGGAGUUGAAACAGAAUCCGGCUUAUGAGGUUUAUGGUUUU
rnacentral:RNase_P_RNA from 1 species